rnacentral:rRNA from 1 species
GACGAGAAGCUUGCUUCUCUGAUGUUAGCGGCGGACGGGUGAGUAACACGUGGAUAACCUACCUAUAAGACUGGGAUAACUUCGGGAAACCGGAGCUAAUACCGGAUAAUAUUUUGAACCGCAUGGUUCAAAAGUGAAAGACGGUCUUGCUGUCACUUAUAGAUGGAUCCGCGCUGCAUUAGCUAGUUGGUAAGGUAACGGCUUACCAAGGCAACGAUGCAUAGCCGACCUGAGAGGGUGAUCGGCCACACUGGAACUGAGACACGGUCCAGACUCCUACGGGAGGCAGCAGUAGGGAAUCUUCCGCAAUGGGCGAAAGCCUGACGGAGCAACGCCGCGUGAGUGAUGAAGGUCUUCGGAUCGUAAAACUCUGUUAUUAGGGAAGAACAUAUGUGUAAGUAACUGUGCACAUCUUGACGGUACCUAAUCAGAAAGCCACGGCUAACUACGUGCCAGCAGCCGCGGUAAUACGUAGGUGGCAAGCGUUAUCCGGAAUUAUUGGGCGUAAAGCGCGCGUAGGCGGUUUUUUAAGUCUGAUGUGAAAGCCCACGGCUCAACCGUGGAGGGUCAUUGGAAACUGGAAAACUUGAGUGCAGAAGAGGAAAGUGGAAUUCCAUGUGUAGCGGUGAAAUGCGCAGAGAUAUGGAGGAACACCAGUGGCGAAGGCGACUUUCUGGUCUGUAACUGACGCUGAUGUGCGAAAGCGUGGGGAUCAAACAGGAUUAGAUACCCUGGUAGUCCACGCCGUAAACGA